rnacentral:lncRNA from 1 species
AGUAUUACGGUGGGUGAACGAAUUACUGUCGAGCAAUUGAUAGAAUCGCGCAAACUCAUGAUGAUAUCUAAGGCAAUGAUCAUACAUAUAGGCAUCACGUCCAAGACAAGUACACCAAUACUUUCUGCAUCUACUACUAUUACUCCACACAUCGACCGCUAUCCAGCAUGCAUCUAGUGUAUUAACUUCAUAACAAACGUAGUAAUGCCUUAAGCAAGAUGACAUGAUGUAGAGGGAUAAAUUCAUGCAAUAGAUAUAAACCCCAUUUUUUUAUCCUUGAUGGCAACAACACGAUGCGUGCCUCGCUACUCCUUCUGUCACUAGGUGAGGACACCGCACAGUAUGAACCCAAAACCAAGCACUUGUCCCAUUGCAAGAAUUAUAGAUCAAGUUGGCCAAACGAAACCCACAAUUCGAAGAGAAUUACAAGGAUAUGAAAUCAUGCAUAUAAGAGAUUAGAGGAGACUCA